rnacentral:rRNA from 1 species
UACGAAGGGGGCUAGCGUUGCUCGGAAUCACUGGGCGUAAAGCGCACGUAGGCGGCUUAUUAAGUCAGGGGUGAAAUCCUGGAGCUCAACUCCAGAACUGCCUUUGAUACUGGUGAGCUUGAGUUCGGGAGAGGUGAGUGGAACUGCGAGUGUAGAGGUGAAAUUCGUAGAUAUUCGCAAGAACACCAGUGGCGAAGGCGGCUCACUGGCCCGAUACUGACGCUGAGGUGCGAAAGCGUGGGGAGCAAACAGG